CUUAGCCACUCUUGAGUUGUUGCUGUUGUUUAAAUCACGUGAUCUGCUUGACCCUUCUAGUUUUGACCCUGGAUCAAACAACAUCAAGUAGUAUCACACCAGCAGAGAACCAGGGAGCUCAACUGACAGCCACGCUUGGCAAUAUUUUGCUUCCAUCUCAACGGUAACCAUAACAGAUACUCAGAGCCAUCUUAGGCAUCAAUCUCCUGGUUAGUGUUUGCACUUCCAUUAACUUUAAUUAUUCAGAGGCGGCAGGGAGGAGUCAGGCAGCUUCACCCUAUCCCCUGCAGGAGAUCAUUAGGAUUAGACAGGUGAUAGGAUACUGAGCCAUUAGGAAAAUUGCAUCUAUUACAGACGACUGCACAAGGCCACCUCUGCCGCUGUCUGUCUCUCUCUGUCUCACGUGCGUCAAAACCCUCCAUAAACCCACUUUUCCAUGAAACCUUCAACUUCCUCAAUUCUUCCCUGGGACUUCAUUUUCUCACAUUUGUCCUUUGUCACCCUUGCCGUUUCACUGUCCUUCACGC